rnacentral:rRNA from 1 species
UCGAGGAUCUUCGGCAAUGGGCGCAAGCCUGACCGAGCGACGCCGCGUGUGGGAUGAAGGCCCUCGGGUUGUAAACCACUGUCAGAGGGGAUGAAAUGCGUGGGGGUUCUCCCCCACGUUUGACAUAGCCUCAGAGGAAGGACGGGCUAAGUUCGUGCCAGCAGCCGCGGUAAGACGAACCGUCCGAACGUUAUUCGGAAUUACUGGGCUUAAAGGGUGCGUAGGCUGCGCAGAAAGUUGGGUGUGAAAUCCCUCGGCUCAACCGAGGAACUGCGCCCAAUACUACUGUGCUCGAGGGAGACAGAGGUGAGCGGAACUUAGGGUGGAGCGGUGAAAUGCGUUGAUAUCCUAAGGAACACCCGUGGCGAAAGCGGCUCACUGGGUCUCUUCUGACGCUGAGGCACGAAAGCUAGGGUAGCGAACGGGAUUAGAUACCCCCGUAGUCC